GAUUUAAUCACGGGCUUACUUCGUUUUGGAAUAAAGGUCACUGAAGAGGAGCGAAGUAAAUUCAAAGAUAAUGAAGUUGACGGAGAAGCAGUGGACUAUGGAUUGACUGAGAGGAUGGUUUCAUACCUCUUUGAAGGAUCGUUUAAGAAGCAAGCCAAAUUCAACCGAUUUGUACAGCAGUGGAAAGAAACCGUGACACUAACCGUUGAGCCUGUCCCGGUACAUUCAGAGAAGGCUACAGUGGAAUCAAGAAUGAAUAUCUGCCGAAGAUUUGAAGAUGGCUUUUAAGAUCCUAGUACCCACAGUGCUUAGACUGACUCAAAGGAAAGCUCCCCUUGCAGAUCUGGCUUUGGAGGAAAGAGAGGCUGCCCUCACCGAAGAUGUCCCUGGGAUUGAUUUCAGAGCUGCAAUCCUGCUGUUGCCGAUCCUGUUCAGGGAGAAAAAUGACAUUCUCAUCAUACUUGGAGAGGUGUGUAAUUUGCGUAUACUUAUUUUUUGUUUACAUUACUUCACGCAGAGACUGGGAGAAUUAUAUGCAUCCCUUGGAUGUCUUAUUUCAUAAUACAAAGUUUCUAGCUGUCAAUACUGGGCCUUGGUGUGGACAUGGGGGAACG